rnacentral:lncRNA from 1 species
UUUAAUCCGAAAAUGAAGCAUCAGUUGUUUCGCCAAUGGAGAACACCCCUCGGCAACGGAAAAGGAUGAUUACAAACUAAUUGCAGGCACACUGUUAUUCAUCAUAAAAUGCAAAAUCAGAAGUAUAUUUAAAUUUGAAGGGGGUAACCUUGAUGACACAAAUUUGCAGCAGUAGAACAUGUGAGAGCCAUUCAACCACCGGAAAGCUUUGCAUAAUCUAAUAUCAUCGUUUGCUGACAUUCUCACAAAUAGCUUAUGUGCACAAUCUCAGUCACAAAAUACAUUGGAAGUUGGAAGUAGGAAAGCAUGGUAGGAUGAACUCGUAGAUGAACUGGACUAUCUCUUUGAAGCCCGGUGUGGAUCAUUCAUAUUGGCUGCUCUCUGCAACAAACAGCGAAACACAACCUGCAAAACCUGGUGCCUUAUUCCUUGGUUCCAACCUUGGCCACUUCAGAAGAUUGAAGUUGUGGUAUCAAAUCUGAGUCCUCUAGAAAUUCUCUGUAACGGAAGACGUCCCUUUGUUCCCCGCUCGUGACACCACGUGAGCCUGGCCGAAUUGUGGGCGGAGGAGCAGUCGAAACAGCCAGGCAUGAUGACAUCAACAAACAGCGUUUGUCUUAUACUCAUCUUGUUCUGUUCCACGUGGACUGGCCCGAUGAGGAAAUCCUUAUACUCCUCUGGGCAACCUGUGUGUGUAUAGAAAGAUGGAUUGAGGAAAUGUUUCCUUAUCAUAGUAACAAAUCACACAAAGAACUAGACAAGAAAAGUCUUCUGAAUAGCAAAUGCGGGUUAUUUCAUUGCCAUGGUGACAAAUGCCAAUGGAUGAUAAUUUUUCAAUCUAUGGUUCUUAUGCCAAUGCAGAGACAUUGUUUAGGUAAAGUAUGGAGUAGAAAAGGGUUUCAGAUAUGACAGAACAUGCAGUUUAACUCUCUAGUAUACUAACCACUGCAGAAUAUUCAGUAUAUCCGUAUUAGCUUCAUUUCAGCCAGUUCUCUCUUGAUAAAACUAAUUUGCUCAUCCGUUUUCUGAUUAAUUUAGAUGUUAUAUGAAGGUUUCAUCAGGAAAAGAAUGUGUUCAGUUUGUACAAGUUCAUGAAUUGCCCCUGCUUCAGUGUGCUACUCAUGAUAUUAUUGCUAACCUACCAGCAAACAUUCUAGAGGGACUAAGCAAUGAUUAAAGAGUGGUACUGUAUAAAUUUCUCUAUCUAGAAAAUUCAAAAUUAUGAAAAAGAUCUUAAACUACGACUGUCAAGAUUACAUUAUUGCAAUACAUGUACCUUCAAGUGAAGAAACAUGGCUAUGCUAGCAUUGAUCCUUGGCGGAAUCAUCUGGCCAACAAAAGAUAGAAACUGAGAUAACUGCAAAGCCCAGCUGAAAAGUGGAGAUACCAGCAAGCAGCUUUGUUUAUCUAAACAACAAUAUAUUAUGUGCUUCUGAAUAUUGACAGUACAUAAUAUUCAGUUUAUAUAAACAACAAUAUAUUCUCUGAAGUUUUAAUUGCUUUCUUUUAUUUCUCUGAAACUCUCUCAAGUUGUACUCACAACAAAUAUAUAAAAGUUUUGUUCCUGUCAUUUAUAAUUGAAAUACAGUUCUGCUCCAGAGAAUUUUGUAUGGUGGCUCUAGUAAUAAAAGAAUAUAAGGAAGACAACAAUAUAUUCUCUGAAGUUUUAUAAAUACAGUUCUGCUCCAUUUAUAAAUACAUAGGGUCAGGUUUUAUCUACUGGAAACACCAAUAAACCUCACAAAUAGUUAGACAAGAUUAAAUGUUCAAAAAUUCAGCUAACUAGAGAUUCCAGUUUUCAGAUUUCUGCAUUUCUAGUUCUCAGAUUUCAAAUAGUGUUAAUGAACAUUUGCACAUUAACACUGAAAUCUGAGUUUAUAACACUUGAACAUUAACACUGAACAUGAACACUAAAGAUCAUCUUCAAGAUUGAACAUUUCAUUGCUUCAAAAGUGAAGGGUGAAAGGCCAAAAACAGGCAAAAGUGAUUGCAUAUAUGCAAAACUCAGCUAGUAAUUCAACCUGACUGCUAGCCAUGGAAAUUGUUUUAGAAAUACUGCAGUUGUACAGCAAGUAAUUAAGGUAACAUACUCCAGUUGCCAGGGUUGAUAUUCGUGGGAGGCCAUGGAGCGAAGAAUGGUCGUAGGAGAGGCACGGAGUUUGUGCAGCAAAGUGGGGACAAAGAACCGAAUUUUGUGCAGCGGGGAGGGGCAGAGGCCGGUCGGUGCCAGGGGGGGUGGGUAAGUUGCUAUUCUUGUCUUGCUUAACAGCUGCAGUGCUUUUGUUUAGUAACUGCACUUUUUACAAGGUGGUUGUAUCAUCUCACCCUGUUCUUGUCGCAGUAGUAGUCGAUGUUGGUCCAGCAGCUCUCAUCGAGGACCUCCCCGGCCGGCCGGCCCGGGCUAGGCAAGGUGGUUGUAUCAUCUCACCCUGUUCUUGUCGCAGUAGUAGUCGAUGUUGGUCCAGCAGCUCUCAUCGAGGAC